UAUACUCUUUCCAAAAUUAGACACGUGGUGCGCCACAGCAAUAUUAGAGCAACAUUCACAAGUUUUAACUAUAUGCGCUCUGUCAAAUAUCAGAAAAUUACAGGUAUAGUUGCGGCCAAUAUAUUGUAGAACGCUUUAAAUGCAGUGACGUUUUUUUUUCAACCGACCGGAUGCCUGUACCACAGUACACCAAAAGAGUUUUAGUUGGUGCCAGCGUAUACUUCAGAAUGGAUAACUUCGGUAGAAGAUAAACUAGAGAAGAAAACCGGAAGGCUCGAGCUUUCGGGAGUUGGUGGUAGCUGGGGGACUCUGCGACUUCGCUGUGAGGCUACACUUUUUCGGUUGUACCGUGCCAAAAGCUUGGAGGUGGAAGUUCGACCGGAUGUACCCCAACCAGCUUCGGUGCUCCUCAUGGGACCAAGUAGUAGAGGUGGAAAAAUGACCAAAUUGCCAUCUCUAAUCUUCUGCGUCGUCGUUUUAGGGACAGCAAUAAGAAGCUGGAGUUGCUGCUAGUGAAGUUUAGUAGCACAGAAUUAGGGUUUCAUAAAUCAAAAUGUUUUUAAACAUAAUGACAAUUUUUAUAUUUCGUGGUUUAUGUCAUAUUUAAUGUUAUUAAUUUGAAGUGGUACUUUGAAGGUAAUUACAAAAUCAAAACGAUUAUCUCCACGAAGAAAACGCCAUAUUUUUUAAAUUGAAAACACAAAAAAGGGUGAUAUGAACUAUCAGUGGACGAUGUGUAAGAUGCAAAGAUCAGAAUUCUUAGACGAUGAUAAGAAAGUUAGGGUCAGAAUUUAGUGAGAAUCAAUAGCAAGAACAGUCCUAAAUUAAUUUAAUAUCAUUAUAAACAUGCCAAAACUUUUUUCUCAUUUAAGAACUCGACACCAGAUACUCUACCACCUGAGCUCUCCGGCCAUAUAGAUGGUUUUUUAAUACCAGAAUAAUUGCAAUUUUACUUUUAGCUUAUAGACCAGUAAGGAUCUGUUUUAGGUGGAUGUGAGAGGUGGCAUUCAGAUUUUU
rnacentral:lncRNA from 1 species